UGUAAAGUACGUUUCAGCAGUGAGGAAGGUGUGCAGUUAUAGCUGUAUCAUUGACGUUAGCUGCAGAAGAAGCACCGGCUAACUCCGUGCCAGCAGCCGCGGUAAUACGGAGGUGCGAGCGUUAAUCGGAAUUACUGGGCGUAAAGCGCAUGCAGGUGGUUGUUAAGUCAGAUGUGAAAGCCCCGGGGCUCAACCUCGGAAUUGCAUUUGAAACUGGCAGACUAGAGUACUGUAGAGGGGGUAGAAUUUCAGGUGUAGCGGUGAAAUGCGUAGAGAUCUGAAGGAAUACCGGUGGCGAAGGCGGCCCCCUGGACAGAUACUGACACUCAGAUGCGAAAGCGUGGGGAGCAAACAGGAUUAGAUACCCUGGUAG
rnacentral:rRNA from 1 species